AGUGAACGCUGGCGGCGUGCUUAAUACAUGCAAGUCGAACGAUGAAGUCCUAGCUUGCUAGGAUGGAUUAGUGGCGCACGGGUGAGUAAUAUAUAGUUAAUCUGCCUUGCACUGAGGAACAACAGUUGGAAACGAUUGCUAAUGCCUCAUACUCCAACUUUACAUAAGUUAAGUUGGGAAAGUCUUUUCGGUGCAAGAUGAGACUAUAUCGUAUCAGCUAGUUGGUAAGGUAAUGGCUUACCAAGGCUAUGACGCGUAACUGGUCUGAGAGGAUGAUCAGUCACAUUGGAACUGAGACACGGUCCAAACUCCUACGGGAGGCAGCAGUAAGGAAUAUUGUGCAAUGGGGGAAACCCUGACGCAGCAACGCCGCGUGGAGGAUGACACUUUUCGGAGCGUAAACUCCUUUUGUUAGGGAAGAAUAAUGACGGUACCUAACGAAUAAGCACCGGCUAACUCCGUG
rnacentral:rRNA from 1 species